UGAAUACGAGACGCUACGGCGUCGAAGCAGUCUAUGUCAUACUUCCAAGAAAAGCUUGCACUGUCAUAAACAAAUAAUGCCUGUACCAUAACCGACACAGGUGGGUAGGUAGAGUAUACUAAGGGGCGCGAGAUAACUCUCUCUAAGGGACUCGGCAAAAUGACUCCGUAACUUCGGGAGAAGGAGUGCCUUAUUUAUAAGGUUGCAAUAACAAGAUCCAAGCAACUGUUUAUCAAAAACACAGGUCUCCGCUAAGUCGUAAGACGAUGUAUGGGGGCUGACGCCUGCCCAGUGCCAGAAGGUUAAAGAAGUUGGUUAGCAUUAGCGAAGCUGAUAACUGAAGCCCUGGUGAACGGCGGCCGUAACAAUAACGGUCCUAAGGUAGCGAAAUUCCUUGUCGGGUAAGUUCCGACCCGCACGAAAGGCGUAAUGAUUUGGAUACUGUCUCGGAGAGGGGCUCGGUGAAAUAGACUUGUCUGUGAAGAUGCGGACUACCUGCACCUGGACAGAAAGACCCUAUGAAGCUUUACUGUAACCUGAAAUUGAAAUUGGACUUUAUUUGCGCAGUAUAGGUGGGAGGCGUUGAGAAUAUUCUUGCGGGAAUAUUGGAGCCAUCAGUGAGAUACCACUCUUGUAAUGUUAGAUUUCUAACUUUGAAUCAUUAUCUGGUCAAAGAACAGUUUCAGGCGGGCAGUUUGACUGGGGCGGUCGCCUCCUAAAUGGUAACGGAGGCGCACAAAGGUUUCCUCUGAACGGGUAGAAAUCGUAUCUAGAGUGUAAAGGCAUAAGGAAGCUUGACUGUGAGACCUACAAGUCGAGCAGGGACGAAAGUCGGUCUUAGUGAUCUGACGGUGCUGAGUGGAAAGGCCGUCACUCAACGGAUAAAAGUUACUCUAGGAUAACAGGCUGAUCUCCCCCAAGAGUUCACAUCGACGGGGAGGUUUGGCACCUCGAUGUCGGCUCAUCGCAUCCUGGGGCGGUAGUACGUCCCAAGGGUUGGGCUGUUCGCCCAUGAAAGCGGUACGCGAGCUGGGUUCAGAACGUCGUGAGACAGUUCGGUCCAUAUCCGGUGUAGGCGUUAGAAUAUUGAGAGGAGCCUUCUUUAGUACGAGAGGACCGAGAAGGACAUACCUCUGGUGUACCAGUUAUCGUGCCAACGGUAAACGCUGGGUAGCUAUGUAUGGAGAGGAUAACCGCUGAAAGCAUCUAAGUGGGAAGCCCACCUCAAGAUAAGUAUUCU
rnacentral:rRNA from 1 species